rnacentral:rRNA from 1 species
UGCCCCAGUAACGGCGAGUGAAGCGGCAACAGCUCAAAUUUGAAAUCUGGCGCAAGCCCGAGUUGUAAUUUGCAGAGGAUGCUUUUGGUGCGGUGCCUUCUGAGUUCCCUGGAACGGGACGCCGGAGAGGGUGAGAGCCCCGUACAGUUGGACACCAAGCCUUUGUAAAGCUCCUUCGACGAGUCGAGUAGUUUGGGAAUGCUGCUCAAAAUGGGAGGUAAAUGCCUUCUAAAGCUAAAUACCGGCCAGAGACCGAUAGCGCACAAGUAGAGUGAUCGAAAGAUGAAAAGCACUUUGAAAAGAGGGUUAAAAAGUACGUGAAAUUGUUGAAAGGGAAGGGCUCGUGACCAGACUUGCGCCCGUCGGAUCAUCCGGCCUUCUGGCCGGUGCACUCCGGCGGGCUCAGGCCAGCAUCGGUUCUUCUGGGGGGACAAAAUCGGCGGGAACGUAGCUCCUUCGGGAGUGUUAUAGCCCGCCGCAGAAUACCCCCGGGGGGACCGAGGACCGCGCUUCGGCAAGGAUGCUGGCGUAAUGGUCACCAGCCACCCGUCUUGAAACACGGACCAAGGAGUCAAGCAUUAGGGCGAGUGUUUGGGUGUCAAACCCGCACGCGAAAUGAAAGUGAACGCAGGUGAGAGCUUCGGCGCAUCAUCGACCGAUCCUGAUGUUUUCGGAUGGAUUUGAGUAAGAGCCUUACCGCUUGGACCCGAAAGAUGGUGAACUAUGCUUGGAUAGGGUGAAGCCAGAGGAAACUCUGGUGGAGGCUCGCAGCGGUUCUGACGUGCAAAUCGAUCGUCAAAUCUGAGCAUGGGGCGA